ACUCGCCUGGUGACUCAAUGAUUCGAAUGGCGACGACAUGGCGAGUCCAUAAUCUGCCAACUUAGCGUUCCAAUUUGCGUCGAACAAAACAUUAGCAGAUUUGAUGUCUCUAUGGAUAACCAAAGGAUUGUUUUCAUGAAGGAAUUGCACUGCCCUAGCGAUUUGGAGAGCGAUCUCUACACGUUUAGGCCAAGAAGGCGGAGUUUGGGCUACAUGCAACAUUUCAUGAAGAGAACCAUUGGGCAUGAACUCCAUGACCAGAAGCUUUCUGCUGCUGAUCUUCUCCUUAUUGCUAGCAGCUGCAGCCGAGUCAUGACUCGUUCCAAGAAAGUUGAUGAUAUAUGGACUUUGAUGAUCACGCAGAGAUGAUAAUAUACAAAUUUCAUUCUCGAGUUUCUUGGAGUUGUCAUUGGAGACAUGAUCAAUACCAAUGGACGAUUUCUUGAUUGCAAGAACUUUAUUUUCUUCAAGCAGUAUUCCUUUGUAGACUGAUCCAUGGCUUCCUUUACCUAUGAGUCUUGAUGGAGAGAAUCCUUCAGUGGCUUUUACAAGAUCUUGAUAGUCAAACUCUGCCAUUUCGAUCUUUUCUUCUCUGCUUGUUCUUCUGUUGUUGUUGUUUGGGAAGAGAGAAUCCUAGUGGGGUAUUAUGGUUCUGAAAGAAAGAGAGAAUUGGAUGGUUGGUUAUGGUUGUUUGUUUGGACGGAAAGUGGGUUAAUUUUCUUGGGCUUGGAGGAAUGUAAAGGAAAAAGAAAGCAGAGUGUAGAAGGCAGAGAAUAAAGGGGCUUUGAGCUGCAUGAAAAGGAGAAAUUAUAAUGGGAGAAUUAUUGAAGAAAGGAAAAGCACGAAGGGUGUCUUAGUUAAAAGAAAAGGCUUCUGACGACGGACAAGGCUGAGCUGGUUGUUGGGUCCUCC
rnacentral:misc_RNA from 1 species